UAAUGCAUGCAAGUCGAGCGAUGAGGCUCUCUUCGGAGAGUACAUCAGCGGCAGACGGGUGAGUAACACGUAGAUAACCUACCCUCAAGACGGGGAUAACCGGUGGAAACAGCGGCUAAUACCCGAUAGGCUCACGUGAUCGGGAGGUCAAGUGAGGAAAGGCUGCGGUGCUUGAGGAGGGGUCUGCGGCCCAUCAGCUAGUUGGUGAGGUAACGGCUCACCAAGGCGAAGACGGGUAGGGGGUGUGAGAGCACGACCCCCCACAAUGGGACUGCGACACGGCCCAUACUCCUACGGGAGGCAGCAGCAGGGAAUAUUGCGCAAUGGACGGAAGUCAGACGCAGCGACGCCGCGUGGGUGAGGAAGGCCUUCGGGUUGUAAAGCCCUUUUCUGGAGGGCGAGGCAGGACGGUACUCCAGGAAUAAGCGUCGGCUAACUACGUGCCAGCAGCCGCGGUAAGACGUAGGACGCAAGCGUUAUCCGGAUUUACUGGGCGUAAAGCGCCUGUAGGCGGCGGGAUAAGUCGGAUGUGAAAGCCCCGUGCUCAACGCGGGGAAGCCAUUCGAUACUGUCUGGCUAGAGAGCGGGAGAGGGAAACGGAAUUUCUGGUGUAGCGGUAAAAUGCGCAGAGACCAGAAAGAACACCGAUGGCGAAAGGCAGUUUCCUAGGCCGUAUCUGACGCUGAGAGGCGAAAGCUAGGGGAGCGAACAGGAUUAGAGACCCUGGUAGUCCUAGCUGUAAACGCUGGAUGCUAGUGUGGGCCAGAGCGGUCCGUGCCGGGAGUUAACGCGAUAAGCAUCCCGCUGGGAGUACGGCCGCAAGGCUAAAACUCAAACGAAUUGACGGGGACCCGCACAAGCAGCGGAGCGUGUGGUUUAAUUCGAUGCUACACGCAGAACCUUACCUGGGCUUGACAUGUAGGUGGUAGUGAAGUGAAAGCGGAGCGACCCUUCGGGGAGCCUACACAGGUGCUGCAUGGCUGUCGUCAGCUCGUGCCGUGAGGUGUCGGGUUAAGUCCCGUAACGAGCGCAACCCUUGUCCUUAGUUACAAGUGUCUAAGGAGACUGCCGGUGACAAACCGGAGGAAGGUGGGGAUGACGUCAAGUCAGCAUGGCCCUUAUGUCCAGGGCGACACACACGCUACAAUGGUCGGUACAAAGGGCAGCGCAGCCGCGAGGUGAAGCGAAUCCCACCAAAGCCGAUCCCAGUUCGGAUUGCAGGCUGCAACCCGCCUGCAUGAAGCCGGAGUUGCUAGUAACCGCGCGUCAGCCAUAGUGCGGUGAAUACGUUCCCGGGUCUUGUACACACCGCCCGUCACGUCAUGGGAGUCGGUAACGCCUGAAGCCGGAAGUCUGACCCGCAAGGGAGGGC
rnacentral:rRNA from 1 species